rnacentral:lncRNA from 1 species
GUACGAUUGCAAUCAGCUACCACAUGACCUUUCUUACCACACCGGACACACUUCUUGAUUUCCUCAGGACAGGCGUUGCUCUUGUGGCCUUUCUCACCACAAUUGAAGCACACAAUCUCUGCAGCAUCCUUCUUCUUAGGCCGCCUAACAUCGACCAUCUUCUGUUUCCCUUUGUCAGCGGGGGCACUGUACGGCUUAGGACGACUCUGC